AUGUGAUAGGGAAUUGAUGAUAAAGUGCUGGUAGAAAUAUUUCUUGAAGGAGGAAAGGAGUUUACAGCUAUCGUCCUUGACGUAGGAUCUAAUUCAGAUAGUUGUCCUGUUGCACUACUUCCUACGGAGGUGGAGCUGCAAUUCCUUGGUGCAAAUGACUUGAAAGAGAAUGAUACAAUAUUUAAUUACCGUAGGAAGUACCUUCCAACCCAACAGGUUGCUUAUCACACUCCACCUUGAUUUCCUUUGGAUGUAAUUGAGAAUAUUCGCAAAGGAGCAUCUGUGUUAUUUCAACGGCUUGGCCUGCAAGAUUUUGCACGAAUUGAUGGAUGGUUUUUGCCUGAUGCAGGUUGUAAGCUAUCAUCUUCUGAAAGUGACUUUGGAAGGACUGAAUCAGGUACCAUAAUAUUCACCGACAUCAACAUGGUGAGAUGAUUUUCUCUCUUGGGGGGAAUACAGAUAGUGGUUUACUACUAAUUUUGGUUGUUCAUUAUUGCUGAAUAUAUAUUCGUUGCAUAUUUCAGAUCAGUGGUAUGGAACAAACAAGUUUUCUGUUUCAGCAAGCU